GGCUGGGUAUGAAGAAAGGGUUUAAUGUGAAAAAAAAAAUCUUAUUGAUACAAACAGAGUGAGAUGGAUGUGUAUAUAAUAUAUGUAUAUAUGUAUUAUAUUCUAGAUUUCAAAGCUUUUUUCUUUUUAGAGGCCAACAGGACCAUGCUCAUCCCAGCAUGGCAGUCCCCCAGGAGACCUCCCUGUCACAGUGUCUGGUAUAGUCCCAGUCCUGGGGCUUCCCAGUGGAUAUUUUCAUGGGAAGAGCUUGCCCAGAUCCAGUGACAGCUCAAGUGUAGCCUGAUUGUUAUUCACCAGCUCCUGCACACCUGGACCUACACCCUACAGCUUCACAUGUCUGACCAACACAGAGAGAAAAAUUCCCUUGUCCCCUGUCCCUCAAGGUAAUGUCCCUUGACACUGAAUGCUUUCAAUUCAGGUGACAGCUCUGCCUCUGGGGUCUCCAUGUUCCCUGCUCUCCAUGACAAGACAUUCAGGUGAUGCUUUAGUCUUCAAUCCUACACUGUAAUUGCUUCCUUUUCACUGCAAGCUUCAUGGAGAAUGAAACUGUGUGUGUUUCAGUGAGAUCUGUAUGACAUUUCAACAUUUCACCGACUUUUUGCUUCAGACUUUAAGUAGGUUUUGAGAACAGUUACCAGGUUUUUUGUAAGGAGCAAGGGGAAAAAUAAAUAAUGAGAACAAAAAUAGUCAAACAACAGGCUGAAUAAUUGACAGAAAGCAAAAGGACUGGGAUUUGAUGCUAUUCAGUUGAGAAGAACUCAUUGAUAUCCACUGAAUUAAACAAGAACCUCCUGCUGCAUUGCUUAUGUUAUGGUUACCAUGAUUCAAACACCAGAAGUCAUAAUGGAUUUUAUUUCUGUUUCUAUUUAUGUCCCACGGACCCAAUGACUCCUCCUUCUUGCUUGGUUUUGUUUUGGUUAUUUUUCAUUGUUGUUGCAGUUUAGCUUUUUCUUCCUCAGGACUAAGGCCUGAGAGCAGACCCUCUCUUUAUGGCAUCACAGAAGGGUUGGCGUUGACAGAGAUUUCUAGAGACCACCCAGUGCCACCCCCCUGCAAGAGCAGGGUCACUGGAGAAGGUCACACAGGGUCUCAUUUAGGUGCCUGUGGAAUAUCUCCAGAGCAGGAGACUCCAGAACCUCCCUGGGAAGACUGUUCCAGUGCUUCAUCACCCUCAGAAGAUAUUGCAGGAGUCUGUCCCCAUGGAGGGCAGUGCUGGAACAAGAUCUUAAAGGUCUCUCCCAACACAAACUGCUCUAGGAUUCUAGGAGUCUUGAAAAACAUGGAGCAUUUGCAAAAACCAGGAAGUGAAUAAAAGCAUUUGACAUUCAAACAAAAACUCCUGUAUGUUCUGGCUCCCAUGCCAAAGGGUUGGUUGCCCUGGGGAGGGGCCUCAGGGCAGUCCCCCUCCAGGGCUGCCUGCACUGCUGGCAGUCACUCAGGCUGGGGAUGUCUUCAUGCAUUUUGGGGCUUGAUGGCUCUGCUUUGGGGCUCAGUGACACUUCUGCACCUCUUGGCUGCCAUUUCCUGGGGCCCUCUGCACUCUCCUCCCACUCCAUGCAGACUCAAACAGGUUGUGGAUGAAAUUGUUAUAAUGGAAAAGCAGAACACUGAACAACAUCUUCUACAUCUUCAUCUACAGCUACAUCUUCAUCUACAUCUUCAUCUACAGCAUCAAAACCAGCCUUCCUCCAUCCCCAAACAAUGUGAGCCCUCAAAAGGCCUAAUCCUCUAUUUCUGCUCCAGCUCUGCCUGUGGGAGCCCUGUGCUUGCUGUCAGCCCUGGGCAGAGAGCUCUUCCUCUUCUUCCCUCACCUCUCCCGCCUGAUGCCAUGUGUGGACACGCUGCCCUGGGGUGGUGGCAGCUCUGUCCCUGCAGGCUGCUGUGGCUGCUGAUGUUUCCUGCCAGUGGUCCUGCCAUGCUCUGUGCUCAGGAUGACUUUGGAGCUCUGUUCAGCCAGGGGCACCUUCCCAGGCAGCCAGAGCUGGGUGCUUUUGUGCAAGGGCUGCUGCCCCUGGUGCCUGCAGUGUCCAUGGCAAUGGGGACACUUCUGGGAUCCCCCAGGGCACAGGUGGCCCCCAGGGCCUGGCACAGGAGCUCUCAAAGGUCUGCCCUGGGCAGAUGUGGCCACCCAGGGGUGCUGGCCAUGUCCUGCUGAGCCCACGGGCCACAGCUGGCACGGGGGCACUGGGGGGGCUUGGCUGAUCCUGUGGGAGGUCACAGCCCA